CCUGGUUGAUCCUGCCAAUAGUUAUAUGCUUGUCUCAAAGAUUAAGCCAUGCAUGUGUAAGGAUAAACUAAUUUAGACUAUAAAACUGCGAAUAGCUUAUUAAAUCAGUUAUUGAUUAUUUGAUAGCACCUGUUACGCGGAUAACUAUAGUAAUUCUAGAGCUAAUACGUGCAACAAACCCCGACUUCUAGAAGGGAUGCAUUUAUUAGAUAAAAGGUCAACGCGGGCUUUUUCCGUUGCUCUAAUGAUUCAUAAUAACUCGACGGAUCGUACGGCCUUUGUGCCGGCGAUGCAUCAUUUAAAUUUCUGCCCUAUCAACUUUCAAUGGUAGGAUAGUGGCCUACCAUGGUGGUGAUGGGUGACGGAGAAUUGGGGUUUGAUUCUGAAGGAGUAUGAAAAACGGCUACAACAUCCAAGGAAGGCAACAGGCGUGCAAAUUACCCAACCCUAACAUGGGGAGGUAGUGACAAUAAAUAGCAAUACCGAGCUCUUCGAGUCUGAUAAUUGGAAUGAGUACAAUCUAAAUCCCUUAAUGAGGAUCCAUUGGAGGGUAAGUCUGGUGCCAACAGCCACAGUUAAAAACCUCGUAGUUGGACCUUAGGGUGGGCCAACCGGUCUGCUUCGCCGUAUGCACCAGUUGUCCUACUCCUUCUGUCGGCGAUGCGCUUCUGGCCUUAAUGGAUCGAGUCGUGCCACUACUGCUGUUACUUUGAAGAAAUUAGAGUGCUCAAAGUAGGCCUACGCUCUGGAUACAUUAGCACAGGAUAACAUCAUAGGAUUCUGAUCCUAUUAUGUUGGCCUUCAGGAUCGGAGUAAUGAUUAAAAGGGACAGUCGGGAGCAUUCGUAUUUCACAGCUAGAGGUGAAAUUCUUGGAUUUAUGAAAGAUGAACAAUUGCGACAACAUUUGCCAAGAAUGUUUUCAUUAAUCAAGAACAAAAGUUUGGGGCUCGACGAUGAUCAGAUACCGUCCUAGUCUCAACCAUAAAAGUUUGGUGGAUAUUGGUGUUAGGACGCUGCCGACACCUUAAGAGAAAUCAAAGUUUUUGGGUUCCAGGGGGAGUAUGGUCGUAAGGCUUAAACUUAAAGGAAUUGACGGAAGGGCACCACCAGUAGUGGAGCCUAUGGCUUAAUCUGACUCAACAUGGGGAAACUUACCAGGUUUAGACAUAGUAAGGAUUGAGAGAUUGAGAGCUCUCUUUUGAUUCUAUGGGCGAUGGUGCAUGGUCGUUCUUAGUUGGUGGAGCGAUUUGUCUGGUUA
rnacentral:rRNA from 1 species